CCUACGGGAGGCAGCAGUGGGGAAUAUUGCGCAAUGGGCGCAAGCCUGACCCAGCAACGCCGCGUGAAGGAAGAAGGCCCUCGGGUUGUAAACUUCUUUUGUCAGGGACGAAGAAAGUGACGGUACCUGACGAAUAAGCCACGGCUAACUACGUUCCAGCAGCCGCGGUAAUACGGAGGUGGGAAGCGUUAUCCGGAUUUACUGGGUGUAAAGGGCGUGUAGGCGGGACUUCAAGUCAGAUGUGAAAUUCCAGGGCUCAACCCUUGAACUGCAUGUGAAACUGUAGUGCUUGAGUGAUGGAGAGGGAGGGGGAAUUCCGGGUGUAGGGGUGAAAGGAGGAGAUAGAAGGAGGAACACCAGUGGCGAAGGCGGCCUGCUGGACAUUAACUGACGCUGAGGCGCGAAAGCGUGGGGAGCAAACAGGAUUAGAUACCCGGGUAGUC
rnacentral:rRNA from 1 species